UCGUUUUAGCAGCUCCAAUUCGUGAUAGCAACCCCAUUGAGCUUGCCAAGCCAGACAGAGAGCUAAACGUCGCUCAACCGCACCGGCUUCGCUGGGGAAUGCUCGAGAUAUGUGUCACAAUUAGACGGAGUCCCGAAAUAUCUCCUCCAAGACGCUCGUCGAAGAGAGGUCGAAAUCGACAUUAAUCAAGUUUCCCGCUAUUUCCGGUCCAUUAUACUGUAAGGCGGCCAUUCUGACGAAGAGGAUCCUGAGCCCAAACAGCACAGCCGAUGCAGGGCUUCGAAGCUGGGUCACCUCCCGAAAUCCGGCCGGAAAGGAUAUUUCGUCAUCCUCUCCCCUACAGCUGAUAUCCGCACUACACUAGAAGCCGACUUGGAUGUACCACAGAAGAACUUAUCCACUAUCCAAACUUGACAGAACAUCUAUCGGACCUUCCAGAGCACG